rnacentral:lncRNA from 1 species
CAUAUUUUGACCUUCUCCAAUCCUGUAAGGACUCCCUACUUUCCUUGCUUCCCUCAGCAGUAACUUCUGUGUAUUUUUGGCUCCAGAUACAAAUCUUGUGAAACCGUUGUGUAGGUAUAACCUGACAGCUUACCCAUAUUUUGACCUUCUCCAGUCCUGUAAGGACUCCCUACUUUCCUUGCUUCCCUCAGCAGCAUCUUCAUUAGCUUGACUGACUCCUUUAAUGUUACCAGGGCACAAGCUAUCUAGUAACCAAAAUGAUGUUUGCAGCAAUUACAGCCAAAAGCAAAAGAUGCGAUAAACUCUAUCAGCACAGCUUUGCCGAAGUCGCUGUCCAAAAUAUAGUCUCAUCGUACUGCAUUCAUUACAAACAAGAGAUGAGUCGCAUAUAGAUACCAUGGAUUAAGGAAUAAUUACUUUGGUACAGUAUUGAGGUUAUUUAAGAUAUACGCGGAAAAAAAUAAUAAUUAAAGCAAACUAAGCAAUUCACCGUGUGCUUAUAUACCUGACUUAGAAUGUUGAGCUGAGGGCUUAAAUUACCCUAGUUGCAACUAUUCUCUCUAGCUUGUUUUUGCUUUAGCAGGAUCACGACCGAACUGAAUGACGAUAGGUUUGCCUUUAAAGACAUACCCAUUCACCAGAUUCUGCAGUAAUUCACUUCUUUGUAUUAAAUUUUUACAAGCAUCAUCAGGUGUAGUAUACACCUUCACAUAAUUCUAGAUAGUUGGAUGUGAUAUAAAUUAAAGUAUAUGACUGAAAUGAUUUCCUUCAAUCCAUAUGACACAUUUUUAGGCAACUUCAGGAAACUAACCAUAUACAUGAAUAAUCUCGCGUUAAACAACCAUUGGAAAUUUGACACAAGUUCACGAUUAAAUUCAGAAGGUUUCUCACCUUCUGAAUAAAUCUAUGAUUUUGCUAGAAUUAGGUUGAGAACUGUUGAGGUAGGCACUUGCACCAUUAAGGUACACCAAGAACAAAACCUUAAUACCAACUGCUGGAGUUGAACAGCAAAUUUUAUCAGCUUAGUGAAAUUUGAAUAGGCUAACAGAAACGCCACAAACGACAAUUUGAAAAUGUCAGCAUAAGUCAUAUUAUUCAAAUUUCAGAUUUGCAUCUAAUGAGACUUCCAAAAUGCUAACCGUGAAAGACAAAAGAUUGUCUCGUAUGUGGUGCUUUCGGAUUAAGAGAUUUAUUUUUGAAAGAGGUUCAUAAAAGCCUAUAAGUACUUUCGCGGUGUUUACUUCACAAUCAUGCUGCCCAGGAUGAAAACUAAAUACCAAAUUACCUUCUUUUCCUCUUGUUUCCCCCAGAUUCUGCUAUGUUUUGAUAUAUGAUUCCAUGAUCCAGCAGUUUAAAAAGUAAUCCACUGCCACUUUAAAAGAGGAAUGUGGAUAUCAUAAAUUUUAAUGUUUGAUAUUGAUUUCUUCGUUUUUCAACCUUCUAAACCAUCCUUUUACUUUAUCCCCUUCUGGCCUCCCCCCUUCUUUCCCCAAUGAAAAGGAAAUGACUGACCUGCAGGCAUCAUAGAGAGGAAGAAAUAGCUUUGAUUCGGAGUAGUAUUUUAAUAAUGGAAGCAUGAUUCUUCUUUAUUUUAUAAUUAAGAUUAGAUUGAGAAUUACUAUUGUGCCAUUGUAGAUAAAUACCUCCAACUUUAUCAGGUUCUUUCAAAUUU